rnacentral:lncRNA from 1 species
GACUACUCAUCUUGUUAGCAAUGCACAGAGUUCUUGAGAAAUAUUCCUCAAUGGAUUCACCAAUCUUCAUGUUGAGGGUUUCAAAAUCCUUCCUCAAAGCCUGAAGUUGUGCUCUCUUCACUUUGGUGGAUCCUUGAUACUUCUGUCUCAUUGAGUCCCAUAUUUCUUUAGCUGUACCUCUUGCAAGAAUGGUUUCAAGGAUUGAUCUAUCAAUGGCUUGAAAUAAGAAGUUCUUCGCCUUCAAAUCAUUCAAUUUGCUCUCAUGUGCACGUUGAAUUUGUUCUUGCGAUGCUCCAGCA